UAGAAGAUUUCUUAAUAAAGAAAAAAAAAGACAGAGGACUGUCUUCCAGGGAGACACCCCAUCCUCCCAGAAGCCCUAGGCCCAUCUAUUCUCUUGCAGAUUCAUCAGUCAGGUAUAGGUACUUCCUACUCCACCUAGGUGAAAAGGUUAAACCAAUUACCUGCUGCUGUACUGUCUGUACCCAGGUGAACCUGAGAAGACGAAAACCAGCACUCAUGGAUGUUCAAGGAAAGGAGCAUUGUUCCUGUGAACACUGGGAACCAGACUUUACUGAAGUUAUUCAAACAAGGAUCAGGUGCUCUCUGUACCAAGAUAAGCUGAAAUAAUUUGAAAUAAUGUUUGGCUGACUGCCUCCACUUCUUUCUGCUGUGGGAAGGCCACAGAUGAGUGAAAUGUCUAAUCAUUCCUUCAAGACUUUACAAUCCUUGCAAUAGACAACUAGAGACAUCCAGAGUCAUCUGUCACCCCCACCACUUGCUCCACCCUUGAUUCAACCAGCACACAAGUUCAAUCCCGGGGACUUGGUGUGGGUCUGCCACUUACUCAGCAAGACUCUGGAACCUUCCUGGAUGGAACUAUAUCUCAUAAUUCUGACAGCAGCAACAGCCAUCACAGUAUUGGGGACCACAGCUUGAAUCCACCAGUCCCAUCUAAAGGCAGACACCACCAGCCAGGAGAAGGGUGAAAAGGGAAGCAUAAUGCAAGAUCCCUAGCGCCCUCUAAAGGUGAGACUUAGUCACACCUCGAACUCAGACUAAUGCUAAUACUGGGAACCUUGGUAGGUGACUCCCACUAUGUGGCCAACUGAAAAUGUUGAACUAUGGGAUUGGGAAUUUUCUUGAACCACAGAUGGGAAAGUAAUAGGCAUUUUCCAGAUCACCACCUGCUGACUUGUGUUUAGAUUUGACCUGUGUGAUUUCUUUGACAAUGAACUUGGGGCUGAAUGGUGAAGUUACAGUCCAGUUCAUCUGGGGUUUGGAAUGAAAAUGUGGAAAACA